UCGUUUCCGUCUGCUCUGAGCGGCAUCGGCGACUCUCAUUAUUUCCAGCGACGGGAAGCGCCCCGUCAGUCGGCCCGGAGGCCAAAGCCGACCAACCGGCGGCGGCUCGCGCGGUUCCUAUCUCGCUGACCUCCACCGUUUGCACCACAACAAAAACACUCGACGAGGGUUAAGCACGUAGUGGUAGACAGGGAACGUGAGAACCUGAAUGUAGGAUGAUCAGUUAACAACUGAUAAUGAGCUGACGCCUUUGUGCAAGACCGGUAAGACCGGUGUAAAAACGCACACACCAAGGGCAAACGACUGUCAGAGAGGUAUAAAACGGGCGCCAGACGCAGCAGCGACUCACUCACACAGUCCACACCACACUCAACAACAUCCACUCUCCAACACUCCACUCAACAUGCACAACCUGCCCGCCAUCAUGACGCUGACCAGGGAGCCGAUUGGCUCGGCUUGGCGGCAGCAGGCUGUUCUUUCGGCACUCUUCCGGCCUCUACAAUAUCGGCAUACUCGAGUGCGAUAGCAACUCGAGUGGGACUGAUUUUCGGUCUUCUUUCGACACUCUUCCGUCUUCUUCGAUAUCAGCCUGUGCUAAUGCAGCGGCUAUUCGUGCAGGACUGAUUUUCGGCCUUGUCUCGUUUAAUGACUCGAUCGCUUCCUUUUGACAUUUUGGAUUCGACCUCAUCUUUUGGCUCAUUUCAAUAUAUCUACUUUUUGUUCA